GACGAACGCUGGCGGCGUGCUUAACACAUGCAAGUCGAACGGCAAGGCCCCCAUGUCGGGUUCUCGAGUGUCGAACGGGUGGGUCACACGUGAGUUACCUACCCUUGUCUUUUUGCUAACUUCAUGACACUGGGGCUAAUACCGUAUAAGCGCACCUGCUGCAUGGUUGGGGGUGGAAAGUUUCGGCGGUUUGGGAUGGUCUCUCGGCUUAUCAGCUUUUUGGUGGGGUAGUGGGUCACCAAGCCUUUGACGGGUAGCCGGCCUGUGAGGGUGACCGGCGACCAUGGGACUGAGAGAGGGCCCAGACUCGUACGGGAGGCAGCAGUGGGGAAUAUUGCACAAUGGGAGGAAGCCGGAUGCGGAAACGCCGCGUGCGGGAUGACGGCCUUCGGGUUGAAAACAGCUUUCGCCUGUGACGAAGCGGGAGUGACGGUAAUGGGUAAAGAAGCACCGGCUAACUACGUG
rnacentral:rRNA from 1 species